rnacentral:rRNA from 1 species
ACGAACGCUGGCGGCGUGCUUAACACCUGCAAGUCGAACGGAAAGGCCCUGCUUUUGUGGGGUGCUCGCGUGGCGAACGGGUGAGUAACACGUGAGUAACCUGCCCUUGACUUUGGGAUAACUUCAGGAAACUGGGGCUAAUACCGGAUAGGAGCUCCUGCUGCAUGGUGGGGGUUGGAAAGUUUCGGCGGUUGGGGAUGGACUCGCGGCUUAUCAGCUUGUUGGUGGGGUAGUGGCUUACCAAGGCUUUGACGGGUAGCCGGCCUGAGAGGGUGACCGGCCACAUUGGGACUGAGAUACGGCCCAGACUCCUACGGGAGGCAGCAGUGGGGAAUAUUGCACCAUGGGCGGAAGCCUGAUGCAGCAACGCCGCGUGCGGGAUGACGGCCUUCGGGUUGUAAACCGCUUUCGCCUGUGACGAAGCGUGAGUGACGGUAAUGGGUAAAGAAGCACCGGCUAACUACGUG